rnacentral:sRNA from 1 species
AGUUCAGUUUGGCGGUUCCGGUCCCGCUCUCACAUUGGGGCGGGAUGUGGGAGAGGCUGAACUGCGCGGCGGAGGAGUUUUAUUCUCGUCUUCUUCAGUGUCCUGCAGAGAUAAAGUGAUGACUGACUCCUGAGUGUGAAUAACAGGAGAGAUAAUGUAGUUCUGUUUUUCACAUGUGGUUCUGCAUUUCAGGGAAUUUAAUGAAGAAAAGAAAGGAAUCCGUAAAGACCCAUUUCUCUAUGAGCCUUUAGAAAAGGAAGAAACAAGUCAUAUUGAAGAACUUCAAUCUGAAGAAACUGCCAUAUCUGAUUUCUCUACUGGCGAAAAUGUUGGACCACUUGCUUUACCAGUUGGGAAGGCAAGGCAGUUAAUUGGACUUUACACCAUGGCUCACAAUCCUAAUAUGACCCAUUUGAAGAUUAAUCUGCCAGUUACUGCCCUUCCUCCCCUUUGGGUAAGAUGUGACAGUUCAGAUCCUGAAGGUACUUGUUGGCUAGGAGCUGAGCUUAUCACAACAAACAACAGCAUUACAGGAAUUGUCUUAUAUGUGGUCAGUUGUAAAGGUGA